rnacentral:snoRNA from 1 species
AGCGCAGCGACCCUUGGGCCGGUGGCGCGCUGUCGGUGCCGCGCGUGGCGCAUACUGAUUGCGCGCGAGAGUU